rnacentral:tRNA from 1 species
CCCCUUGUAGUUCAAUGGAUAGAACGAGUGCCUCCUAAGUGCUAAAUACAGGUUCGAUUCCUGUCGAGGGGACCA